rnacentral:rRNA from 1 species
AUUUAGCCAGCACCCUCAAGCAAAGAGACCUUUAGUUUGAAACCCCGAAACCAGGUGAGCUACCCCGAGACAGCCUAUAUUAUUUAGGGCUAACCCGUCUCUGUGGCAAAAGAGUGGGAAGAGCUCCGGGUAGAAGUGACAGACCUACCGAACCUGGUGAUAGCUGGUUAUCUGAGAAGUGGAUAGAAGUUCAGCCUCAUACGCCCCAGAUCAAUACAUACAUUAUUAAGAUACUCAAGGGAGAUAUAUGAGAGUUAGUUGAAAGGGGUACAGCCCUUUUAACAAAGGAUACAACCUUUACAGGAGGAUAAAGAUCAUAAUAUAUAAAACAUACUGUUUUAGUGGGCCUAAAAGCAGCCACCUAAAUAGAAAGCGUUAAAGCUCAGACAGAAAGAAGUUUAUUAUACCGAUAAAAAAUCUUAUUCCCCUAAUUAUAUCAGAUCAACCCAUGCCCGCAUGGAAGAGAUUAUGCUAGAAUGAGUAACAAGAAGACCUGCGCUUCUCCUUGCACAAGUGUAAACCAGAUCGGACAAACCACUGGAACUUAACGAACCCAACCCAAGAGGGCAAUGUGAACAACAAAAAUUUCAGGAAGAACUCACAGUUAAAAUGAUCGUUAAUCCCACACUGGAGUGCUAUUUUAUAAAGGAAAGACUAAAGGAUAGGGAAGGAACUCGGCAAACACAA